CUUCCCGGUGUCAGGUGCUGUGCGGCAGUCCAGCGCACCGGAUCGACCGCUGCGCAGAGCCCCGCCCUCUUCUUUCAAUCAGCCAAUGGGAGCAUGCGGGCUUGCACCGCCGCUAUCAACCGACCAAUACCCAUGCGUGAGGUCUGCCCAUUAUGAACUUUUGACCAAUAGGAGAGUUGAGGAACCGUCUCCGCGAGAACAGGGGAGGAGGGCGUGUGGACGCGGUUGUCAAGACGAUAGCGCGCGCGGAGUGGGGACAAGGCUGCAGGUUGCUGGGGAAGGGGCCGGGCGGUCCAAAUUUGUGGGAAGGAGAAGGCCCGGACUGCGGCUUCAAAUUAAGGCAAAACGGAACAGAUCUUAAUAAAUGAACUAAACAGGUGGCCUCUACUGCAGACUGCAAACCUCUGGGUCCCCUUUUCCCCUCACACACUGGGACUGCCUUCACACAGGCCUUCUAACAAGUUUUCGGUGGACACAACAUCUUUGUUUGUAUGUGGUGCUGAGGAUCGAACCUGGGCCGCACUCAUUCCAGGCAAGCGCACUACCACUUGAGCCACAUCCCCAGCCCCAGGUGGGGAUAUUUUCAGCAUGGAAAGAGCACACCUCACUCCAGCAUGGAAGAAGUUGGUAACAGCACUGGAAGCAUACAAGCCCCUCUUGCCUCCAAAUCUGGAUUUUUUGCAGGGUUCCCUCUGUCAAUUAUCUUCCCUCCUUUGCCCGACAAAAGUCCUGCUCAUCCUUCCAACUCCAGCAGGGAAUCUUCUCCCCGAGUUCUGCUUCUGCCUUUCCACAGAAUGGACACAGUCCUCUACCCGUGACUUCCCACUGCUUGGUCUUCAGGGGACCACACACAGAGCCCUUAGGGGAGGGGGUGGCCCUCGGUGUCAGGCAAGCCUGGAUUUGCAUCUCACCUAGUCUCUUGAUGGCUGAGCAGCCUUGGUCACAUGACUUCACCUGCCUGAGUGGCAGGAGCUAGCAAUACCUACCAAUAUCAGAGUAAUACUAUGUCAUAAUAUCUAUCGAUAUCAUGGUAAUAUUGUAUGUAACAUUAUCUGCCAGUGUCACAGAACUGAUAAGGAGACCUGGUGCUUGUAAAUGCAUUCACCUAGGCACACGGCAGGAACUCAGGGCUGGAGCGGCUGUGGGCUUAGCUGGUCCUGGGCCCCACCUGGGAAGGGGGCACGGCAGCCCUCAGCCCAGGCAGCCUCUGCCUGGCGCCCCCCAGGGAGGCCUGAUGCCACCUCCCUACUGAAAACUCACCCACUUAUGAAAAUUCCCACCCACAUAUCGUUGAUUAUCCCUCCAACAAAUGGAUUAAGAGAGACACAACAUUUUAAGAAACCUAUCCUUUAGGGGACUUUCCAGCAUUACCUACUGACCAGAUAAUGGAGGCCACAUCGGCCUGAGGAGCUCAGAGACUGACCAGAGAUGUCAUCUCCAUGCCCCUCCCCAAGCCCGCCCCUCCCCAUGCCCUCCCAAGAGGUCCUGGAACCCCAGUGGGCUUCUCCCUCUCCACCUGACUACCCUGUGCCUUCAGUGUGGGUCCUUCGUUUUCCUAAGCAAACCUCCACGCUGAAACACUCUCCAUCCCCCACGUCCAGGACCAUCCUCAGGAGGGCAUUAGCAGCACUCAGGGCAUCUGGAGACACUUCCAGUGACCUCUCUCUAGUGACAGCGUGGCUUUUCACAGCAUCUGCAACUAGGAGUGACAUUUCCAGGUCCAUCCACACUGAAGCACAGAUGAGCGUUUCAUUCCUUCCUGAUGAGACAAUAUUCCAGGUAUUUCAUGCUGUUGGCAAACUUCGUCCUUCUCCUCAUUCACCUCUCAGCUGAAACCUCCCUCCUCAGGAAGAAUGUCCCCCAUCCCCCUUUCCAAACCAUAGCCACCUUCGCUGGUUGCCUUCCCGACCUGGAGGGCCAUGUAAUGGAUUUAUUCUUCUCAUUAAUCUGUUUUCUUGUUGGGAAAGAACCAGGGACCCCAACGUUAUCAUCUAAAUUGGAACAUUCAACCUCAGGACUCAGAGACUGUAUGAUUCUGAGCAAGUCACGUUGAUUCUCCAUCCCUCACUUGUCAUGUGGGAAUUAAAAUUGUGGGAUUUUGUUGUU